UCAGGCUUCACGCGGUCUAGAGUGGGAAAAUUAAAUUUCUAAUUUUGUGAUCACAUCUUGGUGUAAAUUCGGAUGAAUUUUCGCCAUGAAAAGAACUUUCCCGCGCUCAAGGUUGCGAAAUAUUAUAAAGAACUAUCAGAAGGAUGGUAAGCUGGCGAAAAAUGUCGAUAUUUUGGUAGGUAAAGCUGUAUUUUAAGUCAAAAUAACUGGUUUCCAUUAGCGAUAUAAAAAUGUAGACAGUGUUAACAGCGUUGCUUUGGAAUAUGGGCAAUUUCUCUCUGUGCUUGUAGAUUUUCUUGGAUUAUAUGAUGUUCCUUCGUAAGCUUGCAGUGGAGGCGAACUUAAAUUGUCAAGAGAUGAAAGGAAAACAAAUCUCUAGUGAUCAUAUUAGAGCUGUACUACCGGUAUAUUAUGAUUAGUGGUAAUUUUACUAAAUAGGCAAUUCCAGCUUUUAGUUUAGGAAUUAGGCGUGCAGGGGAGGAUGGGAAGUAAGGUAUAUUGCUGGUUAUGCUGAAAAAAUAAAGAUGGCGGCCGUGAAAACACAGAGUGAUAGCUUAUACCUGACUGGAAAGUUUGGAAAUUGCGCGGGGGAGAUUUCGAAAAUUUAAUAGUAAAUAUAUAGAAAGCAUCAAAAUUGCGCUGGAGAUUUCUCCCCCGCGCAAUACAAACUUUCCACACUGGAGCUUAUACUUGUAAAUAUUGAAAUGUUUUGGUUGUUUCAGCAGUUUUUAUUGAAAUUUUUCAGCAUAAUCAGCAAUAUGAUACCUUACUUCCCGUCACCCCCUGCGCACUUCCCAUAGUGGAAAGUUCGGCACUUUGAUCUCUUGUGGUGGGCAAAUGUUGAAAAUUGUGUUUUGAUUUCCUGUUGUUGAGUGACGAUAAUAGGUUGCCAAAUAACCAAAUUCUCUAUUUUUUUCUGUUACAUUCUAAACAGGAUGUAUUAAAGAACUUCCGUGGAUAAAAUACUUGAUUGGUGGACAGUGGAAGGGGCCAAACAAUAUUGCUUCAUAUUUACUUAUUAUACUAGUGUAAAAAUAAAUAUUCUGCAGAUAAAGUAUUGUGAAGAUUAGCUACAUUCAACUGCUCAAUGUAAAUAAACUUGGUGUGUGAGUAGUUUGAAAUAUAUAUUUUAUAUGGUAG